AUUGAACGCUGGCGGCAGGCCUAACACAUGCAAGUCGAGCGGAUGAAGGGAGCUUGCUCCUGGAUUCAGCGGCGGACGGGUGAGUAAUGCCUAGGAAUCUGCCUGGUAGUGGGGGAUAACGUCCGGAAACGGGCGCUAAUACCGCAUACGUCCUGAGGGAGAAAGUGGGGGAUCUUAGGACCUCACGCUAUCAGAUGAGCCUAGGUCGGAUUAGCUAGUUGGUGGGGUAAAGGCCUACCAAGGCGACGAUCCGUAACUGGUCUGAGAGGAUGAUCAGUCACACUGGAACUGAGACACGGUCCAGACUCCUACGGGAGGCAGCAGUGGGGAAUAUUGGACAAUGGGCGAAAGCCUGAUCCAGCCAUGCCGCGUGUGUGAAGAAGGUCUUCGGAUUGUAAAGCACUUUAAGUUGGGAGAAAGGGCAGUAAGUUAAUACCUUGCUGUUUUGACGUUACCAACAGAAUAAGCACCGGCUAACUUCGU
rnacentral:rRNA from 1 species